UCAAAUUAACUACUUAAAGGCACAGCUCCCACAACGUAACCUAUCGGAGUCCUUCACAAUCAGGCAACCCACAAAUCCUGCUCUGGGACUCCAUAGUGAACUUGCCACAUGGGCAGACCGGCAAUCUGCCAUGAGACCUGGUCCCGGGGUUUCAUGCUCCCAAGUUGAAUGCAUGGUUUAGCCGUAAUAACUAGCGUCUUGUACUGCUGCCAGCGAGCCCCACAUUUUCAAAUUGGCUUCCAUGUGCGUUUCCCUGGGCAAUGCACUUUAAAGCAACAUACACGUAGCCUGGCAGAGUGUAACGAAAACCUAUUGAGUGAUAAUCAAACGCUCUGCAAGAUGCCUCGUGGCUUUUCUUCUUUUGAGAAUCAGCCAUAUCACCUUCCCAUUAUCUGCUCGCUUUUGUGAUCCUGAUCUGUCCUGGAGUCCAGUAACAUAAACCAGGUUUCCUCACAGCCCCCGAUAUACAGCUGUCAGAUAGCAACACUGCCUUGUUGUCCAGGUGAUCUCAUCCUGACUGUAACGCUCCUGACAAAUUACAAAUGUAGUCAGACUUGAAAUUGUUUGCACCAGUUCAUUGAAGCGAUAGUUUAUCCACUAAUCCCUCAAAUAAUACCUGUACUGAGCACCUCUUGAAAGUCCAGGCAUCAUCAGCGUCAAAAUCCUAAUAAUAUAAUAUGCGAUAAUUGAACUAACACGUUUCAGCAAAGCUAGAUAAAAUGUAAAACGGUGUAAGGAUUAUGUUUGAAAACAUUACAGCCUUGUUCCUAAACAACCCAGCCAAUCCAUACAAACACGAGUCAUCCGGGUACAAUCUUAAAAACAAUGCAAGAGGUUCUGCAGACACUGCCUCCUGUGAGGAGGGAGGACUUGGCUUCGGAUCAAGUACAGUACGUUCCGUUGCCUGGAAGGAGGAGAGACUGACACCACAACCUGCCUUCAGAGCAGAAGACAUGCAGAUGAGACGAGGCCCACUUCUGUCAUGUCCAGGUCACUCAUGAAAUCCAUCUUCUGCAUACUUUCGAGACAGUUACCAGUAAUUCUAAGUAAGGGUGUAGGUUUGGGUAUAGAUGGUGGGGACGUGCCCGAACCAAUAUUGUGGAAGUACUGUGUGUUUAGGGGGUAGGAGGGUUUGAGUCUAAUUUGGUCCCUACCAGUGUUAAAACCAAAUAUAUACCUUUGAUUCUAAUUCCAAAGCUGGAAUUUUAACCCUACAGCUGGUAAACAUCACUGUGGCUUUCUGGGAAUUAACACCUGUUUCUGACUUGCAUUGAAGGGAAUCCCUGUCCUGAUCUGCAGAUCAGUGUUAGAACCUGUUAUACAGUCAGCUGUUUAUUCUGAUUCACUGUUAACAUUCUUAUCACUAAUAUGCUUGUUCUGCCAUAAAAAAACAAAAAUCAAUUUCUGUCAUUUUUCUCCUGAUUUUCCUACA